UAAAAGAGAGUGAAGAAAUGAGGCCAACCAGAUGCAAUGUACAGACUUGGGCCACAGCGGGGCAGGUAACAGCAGACGGUUUGGUGGGAAGGAAAGCACCAGAGUCCCAUGGGCCUGCCUGGCCAGCUCGCUUGGUCAUCCUAGUAAAACAGCAGAGCUCUGUGUUCCAAGAGGCCCACGUGCAGCCCCACGUGCCUGCUGAUCUGUGUACACACGUGUGUGCAUUCUAGCAAGCCUCACUUUAAUUGUGAAGAAACAUGGGAACUGGUGCUCCCACCCGGGCUGUGGGAGUGUGGUGCGGGGGGGCCUGGAGAUGGGGAGGGUCCGAAGUGGGGCCAGGGCAGGGCCGCGCUGCUCCCUGGAGUCAGGCAUGUCUGUCUCAAGCUGCCCCUGUCCCUUGCUGAAUGGGAACCCCCACCAGCUGCCUCAGGGAGCCCGCGUCCUUACACUCUAUCCGGAUCUGCUCCAGCUCCGUCACCUCAGCAAUGGACUCCUUCAGGUCCUCCACGAACUUCUGCAUCUCAUCUGAGCCCAGGGCACAGAAAUGCAGCAACUGCUUCUUCUCGGAGCCCGAGAGCGGGGUCACCAGUGUGAUGCCAUGAGAGUAAUCUGGAAAGCAGACCCCAGGCCCCCAGUGGGCUGUGAGCAGCAGCAGCCGAGGGCUGGAGCCAGCCAGACAUGAGGAGGGCAUGGGGUCUCAUGCCUCCAUCCACUCUGCUGUCCAGCCCUUCUCCCUCAACUUGCCCCAGCCAUUUCAUUCAUUCAUUCCUUCUCAAAGACUUACACUGGCUGUCAAAGACUUACACUCGUUCUCAAAGAGGUGGAACUGCAUGCCCAGCAGGCCAACUGACUUGCAGAAGGUGUACGUGGAGGAGCUCUUCUUCUUCGGGCAAAGUUUGAGAAUCUGUUCAGGAGAGGGAAAUAGACAGGCACUGAUGAGCACUCAUGGACACACGGAUGCACAAACACCCGGGGGCUGCAUGAGCACACAAACCCAUGCAGUGAUGAAUGUGCACAUACAGCUUCUGUGAGCUGAGCCCUGGAGAUACAGGAGAACUCAGGACAGAGCCCCUGCCCUUAAGGUGCUUAUGGAAUGUGGAGUGUCACCGUGCC
rnacentral:antisense_RNA from 1 species